rnacentral:rRNA from 1 species
UACGUAGGGUGCGAGCGUUGCCCGGAUCUAUUGGGCGUAAAGGGCGCGCAGGCGGCUACGCACGUCCGUUGUGAAAUCGCUCGGCUCAACUGGGCGGGGUCAGCGGAUACGGCGUAGCUGGAGCAAGCUAGGGGGCAAUGGAAUUCCCGGUGUAGUGGUGGAAUGCGUAGAUAUCGGGAGGAACACCAGUGGCGAAGGCGGUUGCCUGGAGCUUUGCUGACGCUGAGGCGCGAAAGCGUGGGGAGCGAUCCGG